GAAAUUUUGAAGUAUUUUCUAACUUGGUUUAUUUCUCUUACAGGGCAGUGUGAACCGUUCUGUCAAUGGCCGCUAUGGCCUUAGAAGGAACAUUGUCCCAUCCAAGCGCUUUGAAGAUUACUAUGUAGAAGGAGUGAGCCUGUCUAAAAAGAGGUGUCUUCGAACCAGGAGCACUGGUGUGAAUGGGCACAGCUCUACUUCACAGGCUCUUCUCCCUCUGCCCAUCUCUGAUGGUACCUAUGGCAGUGUUGGUUGCUCAUUGGUCCUCCCUCUUAAAACCCCUGCACUCCAAGGGGCUCUCCAGGGUGGAGAUGGUGGCCUCUGUAGGUCCUUCUCAGAGCCUGUUUUCCCCUCCACAAAAGAGGGAUUUGAGGGCACUGAUAGAGGGAUCAAGCAAACCCCGCCCUGCCAUUUGGUGUCAAGUGAGGAGCAGACUUGUACUGUACAGGCUGCAGACAGAGGAGAGGGUGAAUUGGUGCCCCAUGAUAAAUUUGGGGCCCCUUUGAAGGAGACACUUGAGAUUGCUACCAUUUUACUUGACUUUGGACAACAUGUCCAACUGCAGAACACAGUCCCCCA
ensembl:lncRNA